rnacentral:pre_miRNA from 1 species
AGGUAGAGCAAUCUGUAUUUAAGGAAGGAUGAAUCACUAGAAAAGAAAUGAAUCUUGGAUAGUUUUCCACAAAGUCAAAUAUCUUGU